ACGGGUGAGUAACGCGUGGGAAUCUACCUUUUGCUACGGAAUAGCUCCGGGAAACUGGAAUUAAUACCGUAUGUGCCCUUAGGGGGAAAGAUUUAUCGGCAAGAGAUGAGCCCGCGUUGGAUUAGCUAGUUGGUGGGGUAAAGGCCUACCAAGGCGACGAUCCAUAGCUGGUCUGAGAGGAUGAUCAGCCACAUUGGGACUGAGACACGGCCCAAACUCCUACGGGAGGCAGCAGUGGGGAAUAUUGGACAAUGGGCGCGAGCCUGAUCCAGCCAUGCCGCGUGAGUGAUGAAGGCCUUAGGGUUGUAAAGCUCUUUCACCGGAGAAGAUAAUGACGGUAUCCGGAGAAGAAGCCCCGGCUAACUUCGUGCCAGCAGCCGCGGUAAUACGAAGGGGGCUAGCGUUGUUCGGAAUGACUGGGCGUAAAGCGCACGUAGGCGGACAUUUAAGUCAGGGGUGAAAUCCCGGGGCUCAACCUCGGAACUGCCUUUGAUACUGGGUGUCUGGAGUGUGGAAGAGGUGAGUGGAAUUCCGAGUGUAGAGGUGAAAUUCGUAGA
rnacentral:rRNA from 1 species